CCUACGGGUGGCAGCAGUCGAGAAUCAUUCACAAUGGGGGAAACCCUGAUGGUGCGACGCCGCGUGGGGGAAUGAAGGUCUACGGAUUGUAAACCCCUGUCAUGUGGGAGCAAAUGAAAAAGAUAGUACCACAAGGGGAAGAGACGGCUAAUUCGGUGCCAGCAGCCCCGGUACUACAGAGGGCUCAAGCGGUGGGCGGAAUCACUUGGCGGAAAGCGUGCGGAGGCUGUUUCGUAAGUCGUGUGUGAAAGGCGCGGGCUCAACUCCCGGACGGCACAUGAUACUGUGCGGCUAGAGUAAUGGUGCGGUAACCGGAAUUCUCGGUGUAGCAGUGAAAUGCGUAGAGAUCGAGAGGAACACUCGUGGCGAAGGCGGGUUCCUGGACAUUAACUGACGCUGAGGCACGAAGGCCAGGGGAGCGAAAGGGAUUAGAUACCCGGGUAGUC
rnacentral:rRNA from 1 species